GAGUUUAAAUAAUAUGUAUUAUCUUGAUAUAAUUAACAAUAAACUAACUGAGUAAUACGUAUAACAAUAGACUAAUUGAACAAUACAUAUGUAAUAUAGCUUAGGCCACAAAAGGUUUGAACUUAUACCCAAACCUAGAUACGCCUUCCUAGAAAAAAAAAAGACUGAUUAAUUAAUUCUAAGGACGUUCUUACUUCUAAUUCCCCAUUUCUAACCAGGCCCAAGGAGUUUGACCCAACAUGUUGUGUCUAUCUCUAAUGAAUUUGUUCAUGCUGCAGGAGCAUAAUCAUAGUCUCCAUCAUCAUCAUCUCCUUCUAAUGAUACUGCAGGAGCAUAGUCGUAGUCUCCAUCAUCACCGUCACCACCUCUCUCUAUGUAUGCUGCUGGAGCAUAGUCGUAAUCGCCAUAAUCAUAAACUCCAUCUGAAAAUGACCUCUUAAUCUCGAACCCAAUAAUCUUGAAAAUGCUUGACAUUCUAUAUAUAUGAAAUUGGUUAUUGUAUGAUAAAUCUCUUUGACAAGAUGUGAAGAAUGGUUUUUGUGGUG
rnacentral:lncRNA from 1 species